rnacentral:rRNA from 1 species
CGAGACACGUGAAACCUUGUGGGAAGCAGGGAGGACCACCUCCCAAGGCUAAAUACUACCUGAUGACCGAUAGUGAAGCAGUACCGUGAGGGAAAGGUGAAAAGAACCCCGGGAGGGGAGUGAAAUAGAACCUGAAACCGUGUGCCUACAACCGCUCAGAGCCCCUUAUGAGGGUGAUGAGGUGCUUUUUGUAGAACGAGCCAACGAGUUACGGUAUGUAGCAAGGUUAAGUACUUAAGGUACGGAGCCGAAGGGAAACCGAGUCUGAAUAGGGCGACUAGUUGCAUGCCGUAGACCCGAAACCGGGUGACCUAUCCAUGGCCAGGUUGAAGCGAGGGUAAAACCUCGUGGAGGACCGAACCACGUUGCUGUUGAAAAAGCAUGGGAUGAGCUGUGGAUAGCGGAGAAAUUCCAAUCGAACCCGGAGAUAGCUGGUUCUCUCCGAAAUAGCUUUAGGGCUAGCGUCGAGUAUGAGUAGUGGAGGUAGAGCACUGAAUGGGCUAGGGGGCAUAGCGCUUACCGAACCUUAUCAAACUCCGAAUGCCACAUACUUUGAGCUCGGCAGUCAGACUACGAAUGAUAAGAUCCGUGGUCAAAAGGGAAACAGCCCAGAUCGUCAGCUAAGGUCCCAAAGUGUAAGUUAAGUGGGAAAGGAUGUGAGAUUUCUAAGACAACUAGGAUGUUGGCUUAGAAGCAGCCAUUCAUUAAAAGAGUGCGUAAUAGCUCACUAGUCGAGAGAUCUUGCGCCGAAAAUGUAACGGGGCUAAACUUACC